AAAGCUGUGAGUGCUAUUAUAUGAUACAAUAUCAAUUCUUGUUGCAUUUACAACUUGUCUAAGACAUAUCAUCAACUGAUUUAAGCCAGUAUAUGGCUGUGGUUUGACUGCAUUGUUUGAAUGGAAUGUUGGCAUAUUGGCAGUUAAUUAGAAAAAUUACUGGAAUCAUUCCUCUAAAACUAAUGAUUUACAAUAUCCAGGAUUAGCAUUAGCUACUUUAGCGUGGUGGAAAAUUGUGUUUCAUAAAGAAAAGUAUGCAUACUUUCCCAGUUUUUAAAUCACCUUUUCGCCAUUAAAUUAAGGAAGGAAUCUUUGCAGCCUGAAUGGAGAAUGUUCUAUGCACGAACCGGUCCACGGGGGAUACGAAUGUAUAGCCAGCUACAUAGAUUCCCUUUGGACCGUAAGAUGAAACGACUCGAUAUCACCAUUUGCCGGCCUUUGGGCUAAUCCGGAACAUAAUGUCUUUGCAGGAACAAGGAAGACAGUCCGCAGCACCUUCGAGAGUAUUGUUUUUGUCAGUAUGGCAGAACAGGAUAUACUUGCACACAGCUGCCGAUGUUUUGGUUGGAAUUUGGUUCUCACUGAAAAUGGCAUUGAAAAAGAAUACUCCUACCAAUCCAGUGACACCCUGGCUCUACAAAGCUGUGAAGUAGGAUGGUUACAGUGUUGAGAAAGUUGUUCAUGUAUCUAAAGCACAGAUAUUCUAUGGAUCACAGACUGGAACUGCAAAGGUAAGAGGGUGAUUCUGCAACCAUGGACUUUUUUUGUAAUCCAGAGGUCAAUUUUUGGGGGUUUAAGAGAAAAUAAUAGUUUUAGGGAUGCAUGGUUUUUAUUAGCUCUCGAGAAUCCAAGGGGCCAUACCCAGCCAUAGGAUUCUUAUGGAUCACAGCACGGCCAAUGUUUACUACAGUCACAACUCUCUUUAACGUUUACAAACGUUAGUCUUCCCUUGUGAUACGUUUUUUGGAAACCUUUAGGCCUAAUUUUAAUUUACAGUGCAUUUGGAAAGUAUUUAAACCCCUUUACUUUUUCCACAUUUUGUUACAUUACAGCCUUAUUCUAAAAUAAAUGUAAUAGUUUUUUCCCCCUCAUCAACUUACACACAAUACCACAUAAUGACAAAGCAAAAACAGGUUUUUAUAAAUGUUUGCUAAUAAAAAAAUGGAAAUAUUAAAUUUGCAUAAGUAUUCAGACCCUUUAUUCAAAACUUUGUUGAAGCACCUUUGGCAGCGAUUAC
rnacentral:lncRNA from 8 species